AUACGACCAUAUCACAUUAAGGCACCGAUUCUCGUAGGAUCGUCGAAGUUAAGCAAUGUCGAACCUGGUGAGUACCUUGAUGGGUUACCGCACGAGAAUGCCAGCUGCUGUAA